UACGUAGGGUGCAAGCGUUGUCCGGAAUUAUUGGGCGUAAAGCGCGCGCAGGUGGUGCGGUAAGUCUGUCGUGAAAUCUCCCGGCUCAACUGGGAGGGUGCGGUGGAGACUGCCGGACUGGAGGCACUCAGAGGCCGGUGGAAUUCCCGGUGUAGUGGUGAAAUGCGUAGAGAUCGGGAGGAACACCAAUGGCGAAGGCAGCUCGCUGGGACGGUACUGACGCUGAGACGCGAAAGCGUGGGGAGCAAACAGG
rnacentral:rRNA from 1 species